AGUGAACGCUGGCGGUAGGCCUAACACAUGCAAGUCGAACGGCAGCACAGUAAGAGCUUGCUCUUACGGGUGGGGAGUGGCGGACGUGUGAGGAAUAUAUCGGACUCUUCUUUUUCGUGGGGGAUAACGUAGGGGGACUUACGCUAAUACCGCAUACGAUGUUAGGGGGACAGGGGGGGAUCUUCGGAACUUGCGCGAUUGAAUGCGCCGCUGUUGGAUUAGCUAGUUGGCGGGGUAAACGCCCACCCGGGCGAGGAUCCGUAGCUGGUCUGAGUGACUGGUCAGCCACACGAGAACUGAGACGCGGUCCUGGCUCCUACGGGAGGCAGCAGAGUGGAAUAUGGGACAAUAGGCGCAAGCCUGAUCCAGCCAGACCGCGUGGGUGAAGAAGCCCCUCGGGUUGUAAAGCCCGUUUGUGGGGAAAAAAAAGCAGCAGGUUAAGACCCCGCUGGACUGACGGUACCCAAAGAAGAAGCACCGGCUAACUUCGUG
rnacentral:rRNA from 1 species